AGCGAACGCUGGCGGCAGGCUUAACACAUGCAAGUCGAGCGCGUGUAGCAAUACACGAGCGGCAGACGGGUGAGUAACACGUGGGAUCGUGCCUUUUGGUUCGGAAUAACUCAGGGAAACUUGAGCUAAUACCGAAUAAGCCCUUCGGGGGAAAGAUUUAUCGCCGAAAGAUCGGCCCGCGUAAGAUUAGCUUGUUGGUGAGGUAACGGCUCACCAAGGCUACGAUCUUUAGCUGGUCUGAGAGGAUGAUCAGCCACAUUGGGACUGAGACACGGCCCAAACUCCUACGGGAGGCAGCAGUGGGGAAUAUUGGACAAUGGGCGCAAGCCUGAUCCAGCCAUGCCGUGUGAGUGAUGAAGGCCUUAGGGUUGUAAAGCUCUUUUAGCAGGGACGAUAAUGACGGUACCUGCAGAAAAAGCCCCGGCCAACUUCGUGCCAGCAGCCGCCGCCG
rnacentral:rRNA from 1 species